GUUUACCAUGACUUCAUCUGACUGCUACGAGGCCAAAGAUAGAGUUACUUAUCAGCGCUACGACAAUAUUUCUUCCCCGAGAAACUUUCGUGUUUUAUACACUGACUGUACGUACUGUUCUAUCUUCGUCACCCAUAUGCUGCAAAUGGCUAUGGUUGCAGCUAUUGGCGCCGCAUAGACACUUUCCACGAGGAGAACCUUUGCUGCGAGUAUAUCUACUACCAAAACUGUGGCGCGUCACCAAAAUAUGAGUUCUUUGACCAUACUUGCCCCUUGUAGGCAC